rnacentral:rRNA from 1 species
UACGUAGGGGGCUAGCGUUGUCCGGAAUCAUUGGGCGUAAAGCGCGUGUAGGCGGUUCGGUAAGUCCGCUGUGAAAGUCGGGGGCUCAACCCUCGGAUGCCGGUGGAUACUGUCGGGCUUGAGUACGGAAGAGGCGAGUGGAAUUCCUGGUGUAGCGGUGAAAUGCGCAGAUAUCAGGAAGAACACCUGUGGCUAAGGCGGCUCUCUAGUACGGUACUGACGCUGAGACGCGAAAGCGUGGGGAGCGAACAGG